GUGGAUUAGAUACCCUGGUAGUCCACGCCGUAAACGAUGUCUACUCGGAGUUUGGUGUCUUGAACACUGGGCUCUCAAGCUAACGCAUUAAGUAGACCGCCUGGGGAGUACGGCCGCAAGGUUAAAACUCAAAUGAAUUGACGGGGGCCCGCACAAGCGGUGGAGCAUGUGGUUUAAUUCGAUGCAACGCGAAGAACCUUACCUACUCUUGACAUCCAGAGAACUUUCCAGAGAUGGAUUGGUGCCUUCGGGAACUCUGAGACAGGUGCUGCAUGGCUGUCGACAGCU
rnacentral:rRNA from 1 species